AUGGAAAAUGCUGGCCUUGAAUCCUGCUGGAUGCGGUCGACCAACGCCGACUCCGCUGCCCGCCAUGGCCGUGGGUUGCAGGUUCCGCUCCGAGCGGAGUUUGCGGACAGCCUGGAACAUCCAGAUCCGUUGCCUCUUACAGUGCUCCCGCGACGUGAUGCGGAUUGCUGGCUCCGGGUGGUCUACGCCGGCAGACUCGAUUGCUGGCUCCGGGUGCGGGCAGCCGGCAGCAUGUUGGUUGCGCUAGCUCUGGGAGGACGCAGGGUGAAAAUCGCUGUCGACGGCAGGGUUCUCCGACGAGAUCUGCGCAGUCAAUGGACAGGGUAA
rnacentral:rRNA from 1 species